GAUGAAGAACGUAGCGAAAUGCGAUAAGUAAUGUGAAUUGCAGAAUUCAGUGAAUCAUCGAAUCUUUGAACGCUCAUUGCGCCCGCCAGUAUUCUGGCGGGCAUGCCUGUUCGAGCGUCAUUACAACCCUCAGGCCCCCGGGCCUGGCGUUGGGGAUCGGCGGAGCCCCCCGUGGGCACACGCCGUCCCCCAAAUGCAGUGGCGGUCCCGCCGCAGCUUCCAUCGCGUAGUAGCUAACACCUCGCGACUGGAGAGCGGCGCGGCCACGCCGUAAAACACCCAACUCUUCUGAAGUUGACCUCGAAUCAGGUAGGAAUACCCGCUGAACUUAAGCAUAUCAAUAAGCGGAGGA
rnacentral:misc_RNA from 1 species